rnacentral:lncRNA from 1 species
GGCUCAGGCUCAUGGAGUGAGUGAGGAGGUGCUUUAACAGCAGCCAUUGCACUCUGCACAGGAUGGCUGCAGGGAAUGUAUUCAGACAUGCCCCAGAGACAGCUGCCCAGGGUGACUGAGGCACCUCUGAGAU